rnacentral:rRNA from 1 species
UACGUAGGGGGCAAGCGUUGUCCGGAUUCAUUGGGCGUAAAGAGCUCGUAGGCGGCUUGGCAAGUCGGGUGUGAAACCUCCAGGCUCAACCUGGAGACGCCACCCGAUACUGCCAUGGCUAGAGUCCGGUAGGGGACCACGGAAUUCCUGGUGUAGCGGUGAAAUGCGCAGAUAUCAGGAGGAACACCGGUGGCGAAGGCGGGUCUCUGGGACGGUACUGACGCUGAGACGCGAAAGCGUGGGGAGCGAACAGG